rnacentral:tRNA from 1 species
UCCCUGACGGUCUAGUGGCCGUUAGGAUUUGGCGCUCUCACUGCUGCAUCUCGGGUUCGAUUCCUGGUCAGGAAA